rnacentral:rRNA from 1 species
AUUGAACGCUGGCGGCAGGCUUAACACAUGCAAGUCGAGCAGAGAGAGGUAGCUUGCUACUGAUCUUAGCGGCGGACGGGUGAGUAAUGCUUAGGAAUCUGCCUAUUAGUGGGGGACAACAUUUCGAAAGGAAUGCUAAUACCGCAUACGUCCUACGGGAGAAAGCAGGGGAUCUUCGGACCUUGCGCUAAUAGAUGAGCCUAAGUCGGAUUAGCUAGUUGGUGGGGUGAAGGCCUACCAAGGCGACGAUCUGUAGCGGGUCUGAGAGGAUGAUCCGCCACACUGGGACUGAGACACGGCCCAGACUCCUACGGGAGGCAGCAGUGGGGAAUAUUGGACAAUGGGCGGAAGCCUGAUCCAGCCAUGCCGCGUGUGUGAAGAAGGCCUUAUGGUUGUAAAGCACUUUAAGCGAGGAGGAGGCUACUUUAGUUAAUACCUAGAGAUGGUGGACGUUACUCGCAGAAUAAGCACCGGCUAACUCUGUGCCAGCCGCCGCGGUAAGAC